CCAUCUAGUGGUUGACAUUGGCGUAAAUUCCACUUUCGAAAUGUUGCGUUAUUUGCAAGACAAAGACCCCACUCUCUGCUAACGGUAUUUCUCUUUUUUGGAUGAAAAUGGGAAUCGCAGAGACAGGAAAAAUAGUGUCUAGUCUAGUGAAAAGGGCUGAAAAAAUGAGUUGGAAUAGUGCAAGUGUUUAGUGUGAUAUUUAGAAACGACCGACAAACCACAUAGAAAUAGAACGUCCGAGGAAAAAAGCAAUGUUGCAGUGGGGGAAGACGAAAAUCCCAAUUUGUGACUGAAGUUUAUAUAAUAUUCAUGCGGAGGAGCAAAUAGUUAUCGUCAUAACUUUGAUAGCUAAUCCCUUUUAAACCCUUUAAGCCUCGAUAGAUCACGACGUCCUUGGGAAGACUCAGGGGCUUGUUCUUCAAGGAAUAGGGGAUAUAUUUGGUUCAUGCUCCUCUCUCCUGAUCCAUGGUACUGCUUUAUGGUCUCCAUGGCCCUCGUUAUGGCUCCCCUGCUCCCGGAUCCACGAAUUCCUUUUCCGACAAAGCUGUUUUUUCUGCUCCCUGAAGCUAAGCUUCAGUCACAAAUUGGGAUUUUCGUCUCCCACGGCUACAGCAUAUUUCUCUCAAUAAACCUCGAGCCCAUCUCCACCUACUAGACGACCACUGGCUGUUACUCAGAGCACCAUCAAGGUCACCAUAAAGUUGGUGAUCAGGAAGCCAAAGGAGAACCUCUCGCCAUUCCUUUACAAUCUCGUCAACAAAGUCAUGAGGGCGCACAAAUUUGAUCCCGCGAAGGCCAAGCUAGAGGCGACACAUGACAAAAUCGCAUUGUAUUGAAAAGUUGUGAAAAAAAUUGAUUGCUGUGGUGUGGUGGUCAGGAGUGCCAGGGAGCACCCCACAUCCACAUCAGUAACGAACAGUGAAAGUGUAGAGAGCCAUGGAACAUUCGAAGAGAAAAACAGUCUGAGAAGACAAAUCUCACUCAGGAUUCCCGAGAGGAUACACUGAGGACUUCCUCCCUUGGACGUUGGCGAAUUAUUAGGCUGGCCACAUGGAGAGGGAACAGCAGAAACUUGUCGGCAAAGCAGAUAUGCAGCACUUUGCGUGGAUCCGGGAGCGGGGAAGCCAUGAAGAGGGCCAUAGGCACCAUCAGGCAGCACCAUGGAUCAGAAGAGAAGAGUAGGAUCAAAUGUGUGCCAUAUCCCUUGAAGAACAAGCCCGGAAGCUCCUAAUUUUCGUGAGGUGUCGAGACUCCAAGCAGCUUUCUUCUCCAUCGGCUACAACAUCUUCACCAAAAAGCUGUAGCUCAUCUCUACCUACCAGACCACUCAGGUUGCCACCCAGCAGGACACCAUCAAGCAGUUUGAUCCCAUGAAGGCCAAGCUCGCUGCAAUUGCAAAGUACCUCUGCCACCUUCGACAGCGGAAGCCGUUGGUAGGAAUAGCACCUCAGCAUCUCAGCAUUUUUCAGAAAACGUGUGUUCUAAGUGCCAAAGGAAGAAUAUAAUUUUGAAGGUAUAAUACAAAUACGAUUAAAAUUUAGAUUUUGUAUGUAAAAACAAUGCAAAAAAAUGUACCGCCCACAGGAUUUGAAUAGUCGGAUACUAAAAAUAAUAUGUUAAAGCGGGUGUUAAAGGAAAGCAAUUGUUCAGCUCGGAAAACAAUUGCAGGGUUUUGAAAU